AGCAGCCGCGGUAAUUCCAGCUCCAAUAGCGUAUAUUAAAGUUGCUGCAGUUAAAAAGCUCGUAGUUGAAUUUCGGGACUAAUAUGUCGGUCGUGCCUCGGUACGUACUGGUUUAUUGGUUUCUCCCUUCUGAAGAACCAUGAUGUCAUUUAUUUGGUGUCGUGGGGAAUCAGGACUGUUACUUUGAAAAAAUUAGAGUGUUUAAAGCAGGCUCACGCUUGAAUACAUUAGCAUGGAAUAAUGAAAUAGGACGUUUGAUUCUAUUUUGUUGGUUUCUAGGAUCGACGUAAUGAUUAAUAGGGAUAGUUGGGGGCAUUAGUAUUCAAUUGUCAGAGGUGAAAUUCUUGGAUUUAUUGAAGACUAACUACUGCGAAAGCAUUUGCCAAGGAUGUUUUCAUUAAUCAAGAACGAAAGUUAGGGGAUCGAAGACGAUCAGAUACCGUCGUAGUCUUAACCAUAAACUAUGCCGACUAGGGAUCGGAUGAUGUUAAUUUUUUAAUGACUCAUUCGGCGCCUUACG
rnacentral:misc_RNA from 1 species